CACACCGUCACCUCGCAUAACCUUCAGACGGAGAACGUGAAAAGAUCGCAGCCUCACUUCCUAAACAAAGCGAUGUCUGCUGCCGCUGUACUGCCUGUGAGCCAGAGGUGGGGGGUGAACCUGCACAUGAACCAGCUGCCAGAUGCGACCCUGCGUGAGCUCAACCAGGUGCUGAAAACGCGCGUCAACCAAGGAUACACGAAGAAUCAUGGAGGAAAGUCACAUGACCACGACUCUGCACCCCAAAUCCCCGGUUCAGCUGUGCAGAUGAUGGUGGUAGCCAAAACAAUGUGUGAAAUCUUCAUUAUCAUGGCUAAUGGUCAGAGAUGCCUGAUGCUCCUGCGCGCCAUACAGCUGCAAGUAAUGAUUGUGAGCAUUUUCAAACAGAAAGUGCAGAAAAUGCUCAACGAGAAAGGAUGCACUGAGAAGGAUUUCAAGCUGCACAUUAAUGGCACGCCACUGGACGACGACUCUGCACCAGUGACAAAAUACGGAAUCAAAACCGGCUCAAUUGUGCAGAUGGUGAUUAUGGUUCACGGAGGAUGAAGGAGUCCAUCGUGAAUUCAUCUGAUUACAUCAAAGUUACAGGAUUCACCGAACUGUAAAUACACGUAAAGAACAAAACGCAUGAUUGAAGCCUGGCGCCUAUGGCUUUCCUUCUCCUUUGCGCUUUCUUCGCAUUUUACGCCUCCUAUCAUACCUAUACUCAGCACUAAUUCAAUAUCAUAUGGAGUAAAUCAUGAUUAAUUGGGGUGCAAUUUUUUUUUUUGAACAAGUUGCUGGGGCUUCUGUUCUCACAGUCAGAGGUGUGUGCCUGAGAUGGUAAUAUUAGGAAUAUCUCCUGUCACUGACGUUACACACAUCCACUCUCUGAAACAAAGGAUACAAACAAUAAUUAAGGAGCCUCACAUUAUUAUCAUUACAGGAAGAAAUCAGAAUAAAUGUAACUGUAUAUAGAGCAACCUCCAAAAAGUACAUACUGAAAAAAGACUGAUUUUCAAUUUGCUAUUUGCUAUUUAUAAUGUGCAUGAAUAAAUACACAUUACCAAAUGUCAUUGUUCUGCUCACAUACCACUGAUGUCUGCAUGUUGAGUAGUUUACCGUUUUUAAGUCAAUGACAACAUUUGAAAUAAUUUUGAAAUCAGGUUUAACAAUUUUAAUCUAAACUGAGCCGAAAAGCAUCAUGAUGAGCGUUGUUCACGUGUUUCAUAUUUAUUUAAACUUUUUGAUUCACAAAUGACCCUGGAUUAUGUUUUAAAAUCAAACUGUUUCUUUUCUGUGACAUGUUUUGUUCAGUUCUCGACCAAAACAAUGAAGAAAAUGUUCUUUAGAACAUGUUAAAUGAGUCAAAUGUAAAUAUGUAGGUGUUUGCAUUAAGAAAAGAGAAGACUGCCUCAGAAGAGUCAGAGUGCCAUUGAGAAAAAGAAAUACUUCUGUAAUGUAGCUUCAAUUUUGGGAGAAAGAGAAAUUCUCUGAGGAAAUUUCCACCUUAACUUGAUUAUUGUACAACUUUAGCUGUUCCUGUAAAUACUUCUAAAUCAACAUUGGCACAGUUGGACCACU
rnacentral:lncRNA from 1 species